GGGUCAGUAGGUUGGUCGUGCCACCGGUACGUACUGGUCUCACUGAUCCCUCCUUCCUGAAGAACCGUAAUGCCAUUAAUUUGGUGUUGCGGGGAAACAGGACUGUUACUUUGAAAAAAUUAGAGUGUUUAGAGCAAGCUAACGCUUGAAUACAUUAGCAUGGAAUAAUGAAAUAGGACGAUCGAUCCUAUUUUGUUGGUUUCUAGGAUUGACGUA
rnacentral:rRNA from 1 species